AUGCACGCUGGCGGCGUGCCUAAUACAUGCCAGUCGAGCGAACAGACGAGGAGCUUGCUCCUCUGACGUUAGCGGCGGACGGGUGAGUAACACGUGGAUAACCUACCUAUAAGACUGGGAUAACUUCGGGAAACCGGAGCUAAUACCGGAUAAUAUAUUGAACCGCAUGGUUCAAUAGUGAAAGACGGUUUUGCUGUCACUUAUAGAUGGAUCCGCGCCGCAUUAGCUAGUUGGUAAGGUAACGGCUUACCAAGGCAACGAUGCGUAGCCGACCUGAGAGGGUGAUCGGCCACACUGGAACUGAGGCACGGUCCAGACUCCUACGGGAGGCAGCAGUAGGGAAUCUUCCGCAAUGGGCGAAAGCCUGACGGAGCAACGCCGCGUGAGUGAUGAAGGUCUUCGGAUCGUAAAACUCUGUUAUUAGGGAAGAACAAAUGUGUAAGUAACUAUGCACGUCUUGACGGUACCUAAUCAGAAAGCCACGGCUAACUACGUG
rnacentral:rRNA from 1 species